GACGAACGCUGGCGGCGUGCUUAACACAUGCAAGUCGAGCGGUAAGGCCCCUUCGGGGUACGACGAGCGGCGAACGGGUGAGUAACACGUGGGUGACCUGCCCUCAGCUCUGGGAUAAGCCUGGGAAACCGGGUCUAAUACUGGAUAUGACUCCAUGACGCAUGUUGUGGGGUGGAAAGCCUUGUGCGGCUGAGGAUGGGCCCGCGGCCUAUCAGCUUGUUGGUGGGGUGAUGGCCUACCAAGGCGACGACGGGUAGCCGGCCUGAGAGGGCGACCGGCCACACUGGGACUGAGACACGGCCCAGACUCCUACGGGAGGCAGCAGUGGGGAAUCUUGCGCAAUGGGCGAAAGCCUGACGCAGCGACGCCGCGUGAGGGAUGACGGCC
rnacentral:rRNA from 1 species